UUCCGGUUGAUCCCGCCGGAGGCCAUUGCUCUUGGGGUCCGAUUUAGCCAUGCUAGUCGCACGGGUUCAGACCCGUGGCAAAUAGCUCAGUAGCACGUGGCCAAUCUACCCUCCGGAUCAGCACACCCUCGGGAAACUGAGGCCAAUUCUGUAUACGGCUCCCGACCUGGAAUGGUGGGAGCCCGAAACGCUCCGGCGCCGGAGGAUGAGGCUGCGGCCGAUUAGGUUGACGGUGGGGUAAUGGCCCACCGUGCCGAUAAUCGGUCUGGGUCAUGAGAGUGAGAACCCAGAGACGGACUCUGAGACAAGAUUCCGGGCCCUACGGGGCGCAGCAGGCGCGAAACCUUUACACUGCACGCCAGUGCGAUAAGGGGACCCCAAGUGCGCAGGCAUAGUGCCUGCGCUUUUCUGGACUGUAGGGCGGUCCAGGAACAAGGGCUGGGCAAGACCGGUGCCAGCCGCCGCGGUAAUACCGGCAGCCCAAGUGAUGGCCGCUGUUAUUGGGCCUAAAGCGUCCGUAGCUGGCCGCACAAGUCCGUCGGGAAAUCCGCCCGCUCAACGGGCGGCCGUCCGGCGGAACCUGUGUGGCUUGGGACCGGGAGGCCUGAGGGGUACGAUCGGGGUAGGAGUGAAAUCCUGUAAUCCCGCUCGGACCGCCGAUGGGGAAACCACCUCAGGAGAACGGAUCCGACAGUGAGGGACGAAAGCCAGGGUCUCGAACCGGAUUAGAUACCCGGGUAGUCCUGGCCGUAAACGAUGCUUGUUAGGUGUGACUC
rnacentral:rRNA from 1 species